rnacentral:rRNA from 1 species
GGAGAGGAUGCCUUAGAAACGGCAACCACAUCUAAGGAAGGCAGCAGGCGCGCAAAUUACCCACUCUCAAUUCGAGGAGGUAGUGACAACAACUAACGAGACUGCGUCCUAUGGGCGCAGUCAUCGAAAUGGGUACAAUUUAAACCCUUUAACGAGGAUCUAUGAGAGGGCAAGUCUGGUGCCAGCAGCCGCGGUAAUUCCAGCUCUCAAAGUGUAUGUCAUUAUUGCUGCGGUUAAAAAGCUCGUAGUUGGAUCUGAGCCCGUGGAUACAGUUCACCUCUGUGUGAUACUGUCAUCCUGGGUUAAUUUCGUCGGUCUUCCGGCGAGAGUUACUCUGAACAAAUCGGAGUGCUCAAAACAAGCGUUUCGCUUGAACGUUUUUGCAUGGAAUAAUGGAAAAGGACUUCGGUUCCUUACUGUUGGUUUCGGAAUUGGAUUAAUGAUUAAGAGGGACCAACGGGGGCAUACGUAUCGCUGCGCGAGAGGUGAAAUUCAUGGACCGCAGCGAGACGACCUACAGCGAAAGCAUUUGCCAAGAAUGUCUUCAUUAAUCAAGAACGAAAGUCAGAGGUUCGAAGGCGAUUAGAUACCGCCCUAG